rnacentral:snRNA from 1 species
CGACUCACCUGGCGCCGAGUUAAAGGUGAUCAAGAAUACUCUGACACCUGGUAGAGGCUCACCAUUGCACCUCGGUGGGUUGAAACCCGCGACGGAGCCUAAUCAGGUGCUCUCGGCCGUGUAGUUUUUGUUAGUGGGGAGGCCUCACUGUCCUUCCUUU